AGGUUCAUCACAGAAGUUCAAGAAACUUUGUGAAAAACUUCAGGCAAUCUUACUUUCGCAUGACCGCUCUCCAGAGAAAAGUCGUCACAGUACAGCUAGUAUUGGAGGUAGUUUAAUUGACGGAAGCAGAAAGAAAGAGGAACGACCAACGAUGUCAAGUGCAUAUGUUGUAUCAGACAGUGAAAGUGAAGGAGAUUCGUUAUGUUCCCCUGACAAGGAAGGUAAUCGUAAAGAAACGAAUUUACAAACAUAAUGUUCAAAAACGAUCGUUGACCAGAUGUUGAUAAUCGUACUAAGGAAUUAACGAUCUACGAAGUGGAAGCUCGCAAAACAAAGGAUCUUUAUAGGAGACAAUAAAUCUGUGACGCCAAACGUAUCCUCCAAGCGUUGUCAUCUAUGAGCCUCAAGUAAGCUCGUUGCUUUAAUUUAGGCAUAAACAAAUUGGAAGGAAGUCUAUGCUUUAAGACCUUUGAGGUGUAAGUCAAUAGACGUGUUUUGAAAAUUCGACAAUCCAAGCAAGCGUCUAUAAUAAUUAGAAUGUUAUGUUGAGACGACUUCACAUGCACAAAUAAUUUAAAUUGUACUUAUUAUUAGUUGUUUGCAAUCAAUUCAUUUGGAACUCAUUGCAUAUACCGUGCAGAAAUUUUCGUCAACAUUAAAAAUAACAAUAGGAUAGAAGAAAGACUUUUUCCGUCUUUUAUAUAUUAAUAUGGAAGACAGUUACAGACAAUAGUUGCAUCUAAAAACUUAAAAUGACAUCUGAUUGUCUAGCAUAUCAUGUUGUACAUCGUAAACGGUUUAUUAUACAGGGUGUAUAAAAAAAGGUACAAGUUUGCCAUGUUCAAUAUCGUGGGUCAGGUAUAAUAAAAGUUUAUACACUUACUUCUCUCUGCCGAUAAUGGACUGUCAAUUUAGUCGUCAAAACGUCAAAUGACACCAUGUUUGUAUCAUUGCGAUCACAAAUGGCCAUUCGAUCCGAUUUAGAAUGGCCAAUUUGAUUAUUUCUUAAAUUGGAAGGUGAAAAGCUUUCAAUUCGCGAUUCCCCUUAUUACGUUUUCGUAGCGCUUUGCAUUGUGGUUAUAGUGUUAUCACUGAUAUUCAAGAUGGUUUAUUUUUUGUCCUGAGCCGUGCAAGAACUUUUAAAAAAAGCUAGGGUCAGGUGCGCGAUAGCCAACGGCAAAAUAUUCUCGAAAGCAUUCAAUAUUUUCAUUCGAGGCCGCUAUCUUUAUCAAUAGUGAUACCACUAUAAGCACAAUGCAAAACGCUACGAAAACGUAAUAAGGGGAAUCGCAAAUUGACAUCUACAAAGACCUGUCCGUGAUCUUAUUGAAAAAGAAGUAAAUCUAUGAACUCAGUAUUUACAGCACUAGACAUGCCAUGAAUUACCUUUCUUGAUACUGCCUGUAUGACUAAAUUUGCAAGUGAAUCGGGUAUAUUCAUCCACUCCGAGUCCCAGACAAACACCUCAAAGGAUUAGUGUCACAUGAAAUCAUGGGAAAAAUUUCUAGAUCUAUUGAUCUACUCGGCCCAUAAAAUGGUCGCCAGCACGAAUUUGAGCCCGCAAUGCCAUGGUGCGACAGUAAUCCUUUCAUAAGAAUUUUAUAGUCAGUUUAAAAACUGUGUUAAAUAAAUUAUUUAUUGCGGAUAGGGAUGGUACCCUUUUGAUAGCCGAUAGCUAUUUAACCAAAUGCUUAAUUGUAUACCAGUAUUGUAAAUAAUUUGUUAUCGACAUCGUUUGUCGACUUAAUUUAAUGUAGAAGGAAUAGAAAUGUUAUUUAAAAUUUAAUUUGUACGUACUGUAGAGAAAUGUUAUUCCUAAAUUAUAAUGCAACUGUUCUUUAAAUGUUAGCUUACACCAUGUUUAGGCAGACCAUUGAAAGUUGG